GGAAAAGACUAACCAGCGUGUCCUUUUACCUGUUGACCGAGCGACGAGCAGCUCCUCUGCUUUUCCUUCAUCACGUGAGCAGAAGCCUGGGCAUCUCCCUCCUCCACUUUUCCCCUUGCCCAGUUCAAUCCAACAACCCUAGCUCUUUUUCCCUCUUGCUGCCGCCGUUGCCCAUCUCCUAUCCCCUCCUCCACAAGGGCUUCAGAGAAGAACAUCCAGGGAGAAUUCGGAAUUCAGUCGCCAAGUUCGCCGGAGAAAGGUCGCCGCCUCGCCACCGUUCCUUGCCGCCGUUCGCUGUACUGAGCGUGGGGAUGGAGCCCCCGUGGCCUCGUCUUCCUCCUCGCUGAGUCCACGGAGCCGGAGCAGCUCCGGGCGUCUUCUUCGACCUCGUCUUCUUCCCGGAGCCAGCACGUCUUCUUCCUCAUCUCCGACGACCCCGACGUCCUCAAGCUCGCCCACUUCGCCAUCAAACCCAGGACGCCGGUACCGAGGAGUGCCACGAGGAGUUUGCGUGCUACCCCGAGGAGGAUAUCGCUUGUGCCACUACUGCUGAUCCUGCAGGCGAGCCCGCCCUCCUUCACCUAUUUUAUAUUUCAGCUCUUGCUAUCUAUUUCUACCCUUAUGCUGCGUUUCUGUCGAGUCACGUGUCCUAUUCCACUUGUUUACCAUUUUGAGCCGUGUUUUCCCUUCCAUUACCUAUCAGCUGUUGUUUGAUGUUUGAUAAGCCUUGCGAGUCGUAGGCGUGCUUAGGGUCUUGUUGUUUAUCUCGAUAUGUUAUCGAGAUAUGUUGGGGUUGUUACAUGCCUUAUCUAUGGAUAAUGUUGGUGAAGUUAAUCAUGAUAUUAUUGCAACUAAAAUUGAGGUGGGAUAACUAUUAAUGCAGAGGCAUCGGUGGACGACACCUUUGUCAACCACUUGUGUCCCCUAGGACCCCGAGUUCUUGUUAUCUAUUCCGAGACUGAGCGCUCUACCCGUACGUGGGGGAGUGGGACCUCCAUCACCUACUACCUUACCUCGAGUCUGUUUAGCGGGAGCCACAACCUUGGUUUUAUUUGCCCAUAUGCACGAUUGCACGAUUUACUUCAUGUUGCCUUCGGGUGUUUAUAUCUUGUACUGUAUCAUAUCUUGCGUGCCGCCUUAUCCUUGGCCGGUUGUUAAUGCCCGCCUUGGACGCCAUCGCAACCUCUGGGUCCGUUUCGGAGCACGGCCGAACUCCAUCACGGGUAGCUUAGUUGGGUGGCUCCCAAUAAACUUGCUUGUAGCUUUGGGAAUGGUCUUGUCGUGAGCCUCUGGUUUUGACACCAGGGUCGAGCGUGCGUAUGGUUACAUUUGGGCAACCCCUGCAGGGUGUACAUCUUAUCGAUAAGCCGUGUCCGCGGUUAUGGACGACUUGGAAUUGUAUGGCUUGAUCAUAGAACAACUUACACCUUAUACUUGUUGUUAAUAAUUUGUUAAUAACUUGCGUAGUAAUAUAUCAUUACUACAACCAAUAUCUAAUAAAACUUGUCAACCGUUGAGUGCUUUUUACAUUGCCUCUUCGCAAUUGUUGAAGGGGAUAGGUGUAUUUGGCAGGGUUAUGCUUGUUGUAGUAUAUAGUUGGAUCCUUUAUGCGCUCUCUUACCUUCUCUAAAUAGACGGAAGUUGUAGCGUGUCUCUAUAAGUAUUGGUACAAGUUUUGCUGCCGCUAAACCCACCAUAUAGCCCGGCGAGCAUAGCCUAGUUCUAGUCUCGCUGAGUACACGUGCUUUGGUACUCACGCUCUGCUUUCUAUCUAUCUUUCGGCAACCGUUGGCCCGACUUGCAGGUACGUUUCCUUGCGAGUAUCCGGCAGGAGGAUACUACGUGGAGUACGAUGAUGAGGAUGUUUCUGAUCCGCAGUGAGAGUUCCUUAGCAACGACCUGAGAUCCGUGGAUGUGGGCAUCGUCUUAUUUAUGUUCUUGGCAUCUUAUGCCCAUUUGCAUCUUGUCUGUACCCAGACGAUAUAUUUGCUUCCGCAUGAUGUAUGAUGUAUUGUUGGGAUAUGUAUCCUAUGAGUGUCAUUUGCUAUCUUGCUCAUUAGAGCGUUGCUAUAUAAACUUAUUUCCAUCUUUUGUGUCAUAGACGUUAUUGUUGUGAUACUAUAUGUACUGUAUUUCACCCUUGUACCAUGUGCACCGUGCGUGUUUGUUUGAAGUGGACAGGAAGGUGAAGCACUCAGGCCUGGGACUAACCGUGAGCCUAUGAGGUCGGUAUUGUGUAUGGGCGUGUCGAGCUUUGCUUGGCCUACCCAUAAGCUUGGGAAUGCGAGGCGACCUCGCGGUCCCUUGUAGUGACCUCAUACACAAAAACUCCUCAUACAUGCGCGCUCUUACGUUCCCUACUCCUGGGGCUUACAGACUUGGUAUCAGAGCAUAAUACCCCCUCUAUUAGUUUGCCUGUUGUUUUUGUUUGUGCAUCAUAAGCAUCAUAUGCAUCUUAUCACGUCACCUUUGUUUUAUAAAAAUUGCAUCAGAUAGUGUUCUUGUGUUUUUGUUUGGCUCUCUCCCUCUCUCUUGUUUUUCUAAUCCAUGCUCCAACCCUCAAUCUUCUUCUCCUUCUCACUUGUGAUGUUCCAAUCCUAAUCUUAAUCUCCCCUCUCUUAAUCUUUGCUCUUGUCCAACCAGAACAUGUUUUUUUUUCCCAAAAUUCUAUCAAAGGUUAUAUAAAACCUCAUUUCUCCUCUUCUAUUUAUUUUGAAAUCAAAUAUAUUUCAGCAAAUCUGUAAACUAUGGCAGUUUGUUUUGUUUGAGAACUUACAGGGACAUUUUCAAAAAAAAACAAAUUUUCAAAUUAUGAUCUCUCCCUUUUAAUUCUAAAAUGAAGUUUUAAAUCAAAACAAAUAAAAUGAAACCUAAGCUAACUAACAUAGUCUAACUAGCCUGGGAGUGAGGUUUUGCCUAGUUUGUCUAACCCAACCCAGCGGCCACUUUGCCUAUCCAGGAGAGGAGCUCCUUUUGUCCCCGCUGCUCACGCGAGGCGUGUGAAGCUUUCGUGGUCGACGUCACCGUCGCCUUCCUCCCCUUCUAAUCCCACCCAGGACUCCAAGAACCCUAGCCCUUGUGUCCCUUCCCUUCCCAUCCGCCGCCAGUUUUCCCCUCUCCGAGAAAACAGAGAAUACUUCAGUUCAAAUUCAGAGAUUUUCGCCUGAGAAAGAUCGCCGCCGCGCCGUCGUUCCUCGUCGCCGUUCGCCGCGCCGAGUACGGGGAUGGAGCUGCCGUGGUGUCCUUGUUCUCUACGCUGAAGGCCAGGAGCGGAAGCUACUCCAGGACGAUGCCACGGAUCUCGCCGUCGUCGCCCUUUUUCUUCUACACCGACGGUCAUCGCUCGCCUCUGCUUCCUCUUCUUCGACUCCGCCGUCCCCGCGUCGUUUCCAUCUUCGACCACCACCAGGCAUUUGCUUCUUCCCGGAUAGGAUCACGAAGUGGUGAUGUGAGAUACGACGAGUUCUCCGACAAGUUCUCCUGCAGCUUUUCACAGGCGAGCCCACCCCUUCACCUAUUUUACUUUUAUAUGCUCUUUUGAUCUAUUGCUAUCCUUAUGUUGCGAUUCUGUUGUGUCACGUGUCCUAUCCACCUGUUACCUAUAUGUCCGAGAUACACCUCCUCGCCCUACCUAUUGUUUGUUGUUUGCCAGCUUUGCGAGUCGUAGGCGUGUUUAGGUUCUGUUGUUUAUCUCGAUCUGUUAUCGGGAUAUGUUGGGUUGUUGGGAGGUUAUCACAUGCUAUAUCUUUUGUUGGAGAUAAUCACACUUUACUUUAUUGUUAACAACUAAAAUUGUAAGCAGAGGCAUCUGUGAGCCCCUUUGCGAAAGCAUCGGAACUUUGACUUGCUAAUGUCCCCUAGGACCCGAGUUCUUGUUAUCUGUUCCGAGAUUGAGCGCUCUACCCGUACGUGGGGGAGUGGGACCCCCAUCACCCACUACCUUUCCUCGAGUCUGUUUAUUGGGAGCCACAACCUUGGUUUUAUUUGCUCAUAUGCACGAUGCACGAUUUACUUCUGUUGCCUUCGGGUGUUUAUAUUCUGUUAUGUACUCAUCUCGUGGAACGAUUAGCGAAAGCAGGUUGUUCACACUUAGCUUAGCCGUUGGCACAAACCUCUGGGUCCGUAUCGGAGUACGGCCGAACUUCGUCACGGGUAGCUUAGUGGGGUGGCUCCCCUUAAACUUUCUCUUGCAUUGGGAACGGUCUUGAUGUGAGACUCCACCUGUAGUAAGUGGGUUCGAGCAUGCGUAUGGUUACAUUUGGGCAACCCCUGCAGGGUGUACAUCUUAUCGAUAAGCCGUGUCCGCGGUUAUGGACGACUUGGAAUUGUAUAGCUCGAUCAUAGAACAACUUACACCUUAUUUCCUGUUGCUAAUAAUUUGCUAAUAAAACUGUUUCAAAAAGUGUGUGUGCCUUUGUCAGUACCUCUUUGCGAAGGGGGAUCGCAUCGGCUGUGUUAUGUUUGCAGAGUAUAGAACUGUUACCUUGUGCGCUCUCUUAUCUUCUCUGAGUAGACGGAUGUUGUAGCGAGUCUCUAUUGGAUAGUAGCUUUGUUGCCGCUAAACUCCACAUAUAGCCGGGUGAAGUUUAUACCGCCCACCAGCGAGCAUAGCUGGUCUUGUCUCGCAAGUACGUGCCAUUGGUACUUACCCUCGCCUUCCUUUCUUUUUGUCUCCUCCCCCUUUUGUCGGCAACCGAUGGCCCGAC